rnacentral:rRNA from 1 species
UACAGGGGGGGCAAGCGUUGUUCGGAAUUACUGGGCGUAAAGGGUUCGUAGGUGGCCACUUAAGUCAGACGUGAAAGCCCCCGGCUCAACUGGGGAGGGUCACGCGAUACUGUUCGACUCGAAGGCAGGAGAGGGAAGUGGAAUUCCCGGUGUAGUGGUGAAAUGCGUAGAUAUCGGGAAGAACACCGAUGGCGAAGGCAGCCAUCUGGACCGACACUGACGCUGAGGCGCGAAAGCGUGGGGAGCAAACAGG